rnacentral:rRNA from 1 species
GACGAACGCUGGCGGCGUGCUUAACACAUGCAAGUCGAACGGAAAGGCCCUGCUUUUGUGGGGUGCUCGAGUGGCGAACGGGUGAGUAACACGUGAGUAACCUGCCCUUGACUUUGGGAUAACUUCAGGAAACUGGGGCUAAUACCGGAUAUGAGCUCCUGCUGCAUGGUGGGGGUUGGAAAGUUUCGGCGGUUGGGGAUGGACUCGCGGCUUAUCAGCUUGUUGGUGGGGUAGUGGCUUACCAAGGCUUUGACGGGUAGCCGGCCUGAGAGGGUGACCGGCCACAUAGGGACUGAGAUACGGCCAAGACUCAUACGGGAGGCAGCAGUGGGGAAUAUUGCAAAAAGGGCGGAAGCCUGAAGCAGCAACGCCGCGUGCGGGAUGACGGCCUUCGGGUUGGAAACCGCUUUCGCCUGUGACGAAGAGUGAGUGACGGUAAUGGGUAAAGAAGCAACGGCUAACUACGUG